AGUCAUUAGCCUCAGCGUAGCCAUAGUUCGGUUGGCCUCCCCAAUAUGAAUUGUAUGUGUCAUGGUAGGGAUCAUGUCUUGGCUGUUCAUAGUAUCCUCCAUAUGCAUGAACUGGUUGGUCAUUGAAUCCUCCAAAUGUAUGCAUUGGUUGGUCAUCCUCAUAAAGUGUAGGACAUCGGGAAGUUAGGUGUCCCACAUAUCCAUAGAUCAUACAUGGCUUUGGUGGCU
rnacentral:lncRNA from 1 species